AGAUUAUUGAGAAGCAAACUGUAAGAUAUGAAAACAGAGAUAGUGUGGUGUGUGGCUGUUUCUCUCCUGGUUGCAGGAUCCACAGAUGGAGAGAUCCAGCAGUCACCAAGCUUCAUUGUGGAGAAGGGGAGUCCAGUCUGUCUGCCAUACAAGCAAACCAAUAAGCAUGAUUACAUGUCUUGGUACAAACAGCACCAGGGGAAGGGACCUCAGCUUCUGUAUUACUCCAGAGGAAAUAUUCCCAAUUCUGAGCAAAAAGAAACCAAUGAUGGUUUCAGUGCUCUUCGAUUACAAGAAGUAGACUUUCUAUUAAACAUCUCCUCUGUUGUGAUAGAAGAUUCAGCUACAUAUUUUUGUGCUAGCAGCUCACACAAUCCAGAAAGUGGUGAAUGA